CUCUUUAGGAUCCUGCUUUUCUUCAGGUGGUACAGAUGCAGAUUUCUUGAGGAAGUAUAGUGUGAUCUCCAACAAUGAACAGAGGGCCAGGUACAAGUCAGAUUUCAAUGCAGAAUAUGAAGAGUACCUCACGUUACAUGGGUUGUUAGUUGAUGUCUCCAAGAAAUUUGCUGCGUUAGAAUGUAGUUUAAGACAGUUUGAUGAAGGCUCAGAGGAUUGGGAAGUGACAAAUUAUGCACCAGAUUAAAGCAGAAUACAAAGAAAACAGAAGGAAACAAUAUCACCUUACAAAGAAACGAUUUCAGUACUUGCACAAUAAGUUAUCUCAUAUUAAACAACUUGUCGUGGAUUAUGACCAGGCUCAGUGUUAAAGUCUAGAGAAUCUCUUCCUGCCCAAACUGGAUCAUGAAAAGUUUUUAUGGAAAAUUAAGUAGCAAAAGAUGUUUGAGAGACUUUGUGUGAAUUUUGUAAAAAUUGUAGAGGAAUUUCUGAGACUUAAUGUGUUCAUAUUCAAUCUUGAAAAAUGAUACUUAAAUAUAAGAAGUAGAUAAAAAAUGAAACUGUAGGUGAUUCCCUGUGAAGAACUUGCCAAAUUCACAUGAAAUGUUAAAAGUUUGAAAUGCGAAUAUACAGUAUCUGUUGUGAAAAUGAAGUGUAGCUGACUGGAAUAAUGUGUCUAGCCAACUACUUUCAUAUAUGUAUAACCCCUUCCCAUUUUUACUUUCACCCAGUUUGCAUUCCGUUUGUUUUUCAUAAACUUAAUAACCUGAUCAGUUUAUUCAUGUGUACUCUUUAAUUAUUAUUUUUGCUAAUUUCCAUGUCUUUUCUCUUUUUGUUUUGAAGUAGAUUAUAUAUAUAUAUAUAUAUCUCAAAGAGCAAAUUGGAUCACUUUGAAAACAUACCAAAAAAUACAGUUAAUUCAUAUCAUUUUUCUGUCAUUUUCAAAAUCUAAAUAAUAUUACAAUGGCCAUUUAAACUAUGAAUCUUAAUUUUAUAGAAAAUAUAAUUAUGGUGCAGCUUAGAGUUGUGUGUAGCUCAUUCAAUUUGGCUGCUUAUCAGUCCAUGUGAAGUCAUGAUGAAGUAACUUGUGUUGCUGUGAUAGGGAUUAGUCUGCUUCAACUUGUGUGGUGAACAUUCCACUUUCAUGUUCCUGCCUUUUUUUUUUUUGGACAUGUGAUAUUUCAAUAUUUGAGCUGAAAACUUGUACAGCUUUAUGUGUUUUCAAACAGAAGAAUGACUGUUAAUGUUUGUCAUGUGUGUUUGUAUAUGUGUUGUGUAAAGAAACAGUGUUAUUUAUGGUCUGCUUUCAUAUUAGAUUUUUUUAAAAUCUUUAUUUGCUUAAGUUGAUGCCUACCUCACAAAAUCCACAAACAUCGCUGAUUUAAUCUUUUGAUGAAAGGAGUUUUGUCCAUCAUUUGUAACAGGAGAUAUAACAUUGGUCAGCGUGACACUUUUCUCAAUAUUUGUUCAUAUGUGGUUUGAUUAUUGCUGUAACACAAAGAACAAUUUAUUUUCAUUCAAAUUAUUUAACCAUAUAUAUAAUUUUUUCUUGCUUGAUUCGUUUCUUAAACAAAUUGUAACACAAUGUUAUAGCUCUUAAGUUUUUAGUUGACAAAAAAACGUUUGAUGCUAAUUACUAUUGAUGACAAAGUACAAUUAAAGAUAAGUUUCAGACUGCUUGGUACAAAGUGGUUGUGUAUAAAUCUAAUGUUCUUCAAGUCAGUUACAAAAUUUGUGUUCUUAAUGAGCAAUGUUUUACAUAUUUUUUAUGAGAUAAAAGUCUUGUUUAACUUAACAUACAAUAUAUAUCAAAUUAUUGUAAAUUUAUUAGAAAGUUAUGUGAAGAAAAACUAGUUGACAGUUUACAAAACAUGUUUUCAGUCUUGUUCAGUGACCUGUAAUCUGUGUGUUCAGAAUUUUUGCAGUCACUUUGGUUUGUCUGUCUCACUAGUUCAAGGAUACGUGAAAAAUGGUCCUACAAGUGCUUGGUGUUGUUUUAUUUUCUGGUUAGAUAUAUCAAAUUUUCUUGUUGGCUAGGUUAUGACAUAAUUAAAGAAAACUGUGCUUCUAAUAGUGAUGGGAAUUAUUUUGCUAAUUGUAAGUUAUUUAUAGUUUCUUAAACUAUUCUGAAAGUAUAAUUCAGGUGAACAAAUUAGUAAAAAAAAAUAAUGAUAAUUUCUGGUGUAUUUUGCUUAUUAAAAUAUAGUAUACAUUAAAAUUAUGAAUGCUUAAAAUAAAGAAAAAGUUUAAAUUUGUUUUGUAAUACUUUAAAAUUGUUACUUUAUUUGCUUCCAUUCAUGUACUUUUUCUUGGUAGUUACUGUGUUCAGUUUUUAAAUGUCUGUUGUUGAUUACUUAUAAUUUAAUAGCAAAGUGUUGAAUUCCACCACCAGCUUACUUCAAGUAGAAGUAAACCAUGUAAAGAUGUCAAGAGGGGGUUGUAUGACUUGAAAGUUU